UAGGGAAUCUUCCGCAAUGGACGAAAGUCUGACGGAGCAACGCCGCGUGAGUGAAGAAGGAUUUCGGUUCGUAAAACUCUGUUGUUAGGGAAGAAAAAAUGUAUAGUAACUAUAUACAAAAGAGACGGUACCUAACCAGAAAGCCACGGCUAACUACGUGCCAGCAGCCGCUGUAAUACGUAGGUGGCAAGCGUUGUCCGGAAUUAUUUGGCGUAAAGCGCGCGCAGGUGGUUUAGAAAGUCUGAUGUGAAAGCCCACGGCUCAACCGUGGAGGGUCAUUGGAAACUAAUAAACUUGAGUGCAGGAGAGAAAAGUGGAAUUCCUAGUGUAGCGGUGAAAUGCGUAGAGAUUAGGAGGAACACCGGUGGCGAAAGCGGCUUUUUGGCCUGCAACUGACACUGAGGCGCGAAAGCGUGGUGAGCAAACAGG
rnacentral:rRNA from 1 species